rnacentral:rRNA from 1 species
CGGCACGCCUAACACAUGCAAGUCGAACGAAGUAGUAAUACUUAGUGGCAGACGGGUGAGUAACAUGUAGGUAUCUGCCCUUUGGCCUGGAAUAACACGAGGAAACUUGUGCUAAUACCGGAUAAGUCUUUACGGAGAAAGCUUUAUGCACCAUUGGAUGAGCCUGCACUUGAUUAGUUUGUUGGUGGGGUAAUGGCCUACCAAGACUGUGAUCAAUAGCUGAUUUGAGAGGAUGAUCAGCCACAUUGGGACUGAGACACGGCCCAAACUCCUACGGGAGGCAGCAGUGGGGAAUCUUGCACAAUGGAGGAAACUCUGAUGCAGCGAUGCCGCGUGAGUGAAGAAGGCCCUUGGGUUGUAAAGCUCUUUCGUCGGGGAAGAAAAUGA